CAGCCGAGCGGUAUGGAUAGCUUGCUAUCCAGAGAGCGGCGUACGGGUGCGUAACACGUGUGCAACCUGCCUUUAUCUGGGGGAUAGCCUUUCGAAAGGAAGAUUAAUACCCCAUAAUAUGGUGUCCGGCAUCGGUCGCCAUUGAAAGCCUCGGCGGAUAGAGAUGGGCACGCGCAAGAUUAGAUAGUUGGCGGGGUAACGGCCCACCAAGUCGAUGAUCUUUAGGGGUCCUGAGAGGGAGAUCCCCCACACUGGUACUGAGACACGGACCAGACUCCUACGGGAGGCAGCAGUGAGGAAUAUUGGACAAUGGGUGGAAGCCUGAUCCAGCCAUCCCGCGUGAAGGAUGACGGUCCUAUGGAUUGUAAACUUCUUUUGUACAGGGAUAAACCUGCCCUCGUGAGGGCAGCUGAAGGUACUGUACGAAUAAGCACCGGCUAACUCCGUGCCAGCAGCCGCGGUAAUACGGAGGGUGCGAGCGUUAUCCGGAUUUAUUGGGUUUAAAGGGUCCGUAGGCGGGCCUGUAAGUCAGUGGUGAAAUCUCAUAGCUUAACUAUGAAACUGCCAUUGAUACUGCAGGCCUUGAGUAAAUUUGAAGUGGCUGGAAUAAGUAGUGUAGCGGUGAAAUGCAUAGAUAUUACUUAGAACACCGAUUGCGAAGGCAGGUCACUAAGAUUUAACUGACGCUGAUGGACGAAAGCGUGGGGAGCGAACAGGAUUAGAUACCCUGGUAGUCCACGCCGUAAACGAUGCUAACUCGUUUUUGGAUCUUCGGGUUCAGAGACCAAGCGAAAGUGAUAAGUUAGCCACCUGGGGAGUACGUCCGCAAGGAUGAAACUCAAAGGAAUUGACGGGGGCCCGCACAAGCGGUGGAUUAUGUGGUUUAAUUCGAUGAUACGCGAGGAACCUUACCAAGACUUAAAUGGGAAUUGACAGAUUUAGAAAUAGAUCCUCCUUCGGGCAAUUUUCAAGGUGCUGCAUGGUUGUCGUCAGCUCGUGCCGUGAGGUGUUAGGUUAAGUCCUGCAACGAGCGCAACCCCUGCCAACAGUUGCCAUCAUUCAGUUGGGGACUCUGUUGGGACUGCCUACGCAAGUAGAGAGGAAGGUGGGGAUGACGUCAAAUCAUCACGGCCCUUACGUCUUGGGCCACACACGUAAUACAAUGGCCGGUACAGAGGGCAGCUACCUGGUGACAGGAUGCGAAUCUCGAAAGCCGGUCUCAGUUCGGAUUGGAGUCUGCAACUCGACUCUAUGAAGCUGGAAUCGCUAGUAAUCGCGCAUCAGCCAUGGCGCGGUGAAUACGUUCCCGGGCCUUGUACACACCGCCCGUCAAGCCAUGGAAGUCUGGGGUACCUGAAGUCGGUGACCGUAAUA
rnacentral:rRNA from 1 species